UACGUAGGGUGCGAGCGUUGUCCGGAAUUAUUGGGCGUAAAGGGCUCGUAGGCGGUCUGUCGCGUCGAAAGUGAAAACCCAGGGCUUAACCCUGGGCCUGCUUCCGAUACGGGCAGACUAGAGGUAUGCAGGGGAGAACGGAAUUCCUGGUGUAGCGGUGAAAUGCGCAGAUAUCAGGAAGAACACCCGUGGCGAAGGCGGCUCUCUGGAACGCAACUGACGCUGAGACGCGAAAGCGUGGGGAGCAAACAGG
rnacentral:rRNA from 1 species